rnacentral:rRNA from 1 species
GGGCCGCGGUAAUCUGACCGUGCAAAGGUAGCAUAAUAGUUAGUUUUUUAAUUGGAAUCUUGUAUGAAUGGUUGGACAAAAGAAAUACUGUCUCUGUAAUUAUUAUUGAAUUUAACUUUUAAGUGAAAAGGCUUAAAUUAUUUAAAAAGACGAUAAGACCCUAUAAAGCUUUAUAAGUAAGCUCUAUUUGAUUAAAUUAGUUAAUAAAAUUUUAAUAGUUUAGUUAUUUUGUUGGGGAGAUAAUAUUAUAAUUGAAAAUAACUGAAGAUAAUUGUUACAAAUAUAAAUGCUUAAAAAAUAAAAGAUCCUUUAUAAAGAUUAAAAGUUUAAGUUACUUUAGGGAUAACAGCGUUAUUCUCUUUGAGAGCUCAUAUCGAAAAGAGAGAUUGCGACCUCGAUGUUGAAUUAAAAUUUCUAAAUGAUUGCAGAAGUUAUUUUAGAGGGUCUGUUCGACCUUUAAAUUUUUA